rnacentral:rRNA from 1 species
CUACGGGUGGCAGCAGUGGGGAAUCUUAGACAAUGGGGGAAACCCUGAUCUAGCCAUGCCGCGUGAGUGACGAAGGCCUUAGGGUCGUAAAGCUCUUUCGCUGGGGAAGAUAAUGACUGUACCCAGUAAAGAAACCCCGGCUAACUCCGUGCCAGCAGCCGCGGUAAUACGGAGGGGGUUAGCGUGUUCGGAAUGACUGGGCGUAAAGCGCGCGUAGGCGGACUGGAAAGUUGGGGGUGAAAUCCCGGGGCUCAACCCCGGAACGGCCUCCAAAACUAUCAGUCUAGAGUUCGAGAGAGGUGAGUGGAAUUCCGAGUGUAGAGGUGAAAUUCGUAGAUAUUCGGAGGAACACCAGUGGCGAAGGCGGCUCACUGGCUCGAUACUGACGCUGAGGUGCGAAAGCGUGGGGAGCAAACAGGAUUAGAUACCCUUGUAGUC